CCCUUAGAUGUCCUGGGCCGCACGCGCGCUACACUGAUGCAUGCAACGAGUUUCACUUUUCCUGGGUCGAGAGGCCCGGGUAAUCUGUUGAACGUGCAUCGUGAUAGGGAUAGAUCAUUGCAAUUAUUGAUCUUGAACGAGGAAUUCCUAGUAAACGCGAGUCAUCAGCUCGCAUUGAUUACGUCCCUGCCCUUUGUACACACCGCCCGUCGCACCUACCGAUUGAAUGUUUCGGUGAAGAUUCCGGAUAGGACUUUUUUGAUUUAUUUCAAUUCUGUCUUAAAAGCUAUCUAAACCUCAACAUUUAGAGGAAGGUGAAGUCGUAACA
rnacentral:rRNA from 1 species